rnacentral:lncRNA from 1 species
UUAUGUUUCCUUUUAUUUUAUUUAUUGAGGACAUAAUAUGGACUGUUUAGCUUGACAUUUACACAUCAGUCCAUUAGCUUACACCAUUUGAGGUGAGUCAUGCUCUGUCACGAGAUCUAGUGAUGAUGUUAAAUACAGAUGGAGGUUUCAGGUUUGUAAAUUACAUCGUUGCUUUGUUACGCUCUAGUCAUAAAGUGGAACAUUUCUUUCAAGGUUUACCACACUACCACACUCCAUCCCACCAAAAUUAAACACAUUUAGUCAGAUUGUUUUCUCCAAAUGCUUAAUGCUGAUCUAUAACUCAUGGAGUUGUCACUGACCAUGUUACCUGACCAGUAAAAGGAUUUACCAAACUGAGUUUACUGGUCAGGUGAUGUGGCCAGGAAAAGGUUUUACCAAACUGAGUUUACUGGUCAGGUGAUGUGGUCAGGAAAAGGUUUUACCAAACUGAGUUUACUGGUCAGGUGAUGUGGUCAGGGAAAGGUUUUACCAAACUGAGUUUACUGGUCAGGUGAUGUGGUCAGGGAAAGGUUUUACCAAACUGAGUUUACUGGUCAGGUGAUGUGGUCAGGAAAAGAUUUUACCAAACUGAGUUUACUGGUCAGGUGAUGUGGUCAGGAAAAGGGUUUUACCAGGCUGAGUUUCCUGGUCAGGUGAUGUGGUCAGGAAAAGGGUUUUACCAGGCUGAGUUUACUGGUCAGGUGAUGUGGUCAGGAAAAGGUUUUAUCAAACUGAGUUUACUGGUCAGGUGAUGUGGUCAGGAAAAGGUUUUACCAAACUGAGUUUACUGGUCAGGUGAUGUGGUCAGGAAAAGGUUUUACCAAACUGAGUUUACUGGUCAGGUGAUGUGGUCAGGAAAAGGUUUUACCAAACUGAGUUUACUGGUCAGGUGAUGUGGUCAGGAAAAGGGUUUUACCAGGCUGAGUUUCCUGGUCAGGUGAUGUGGUAAGGAAAAGGGUUUACCAGGCUGAAUUUACUGCCUACUAGGCACAGAUGUCAAUUCAAUGUCUAUUCCACGUUGGUUCAACUUAAUUUCAUUGAAAUCACGUGGAAACAGUGUUGAUUCAACCAAUGGGUGGGUGGUCAGGUGACUUGGUAAAGAAAAAUGGUUUACCAGACUGAGUUUACUGGUGAGGUGAUCUGGUUAACAAGACUGGGUUUCCUGGUCAGGUGAUGUGGUCAGGAAAAACUCAUGGCCUUACUUAUGGGCAAUAGCAGUAGGACAUUAAAUGUUGCCAUGAUUCAUGACAUCCUCCAUUCAUGAUUCACAGGAAGGGACAAGUUAAUGAUCUGGGGCUUGUGGAGAGUUGAGUCUCUCUAUCGUGUUGAUUUGAGGGUGCUAAUGUUGAGGUGGAGGCCUACUCUGUUGAGCAGUGGUCUGAUAUGGCUCUUCAUUGGCGGUGUCUUCCCAUCCUCCCCCGUGUUGUGUGCGUCAAGCCCAUGGGACAGUAACAAGGUCCAUAUGUAGCCUCUUCCUCCGGCCUCCCCCCCAAACCUGAGGGGGGUAGUGUUAACAGGAUGACAGCCUAUUGAUUUACUCACAGAAAGAGAAGGGGGAAUGAAAGAGUGAGAGUGAGAGAGAGAGAGAGAGAGAGAGAGAAAGAAAGAAAGAAAGAAAGAAAGAAAGAAAGAAAGAAAGAAAGAAAGAAAGAAAGAAAGAAAGAAAGAAAGAAAGAAAGAAAGAAAGAAAGAAAGAAAGAAAGAAAGAAAGAAAGAAAGAAAGAGUAAUAGCUCAAAUAAUUUGAAGUAGAAUCCCCAAAACAUACGGUCAAGAAUCAAGACUAGUUUCUGGGUUGGAAGGUGCCUGUAACUACCACCAGAAACUACUAGAUGUGUGUUUAAUGUGACUUAAACUGCUAGUAAUUUUAGCUUGCUUAUUUUUUUAUGACUAUGUUUUUAUGACUGACACUUUUUAUGACUAACAUUUUCUUACCAGAAGCAUUUGAAGAAGUCAUCCUUUUCA